rnacentral:rRNA from 1 species
UAGUGGCGAACGGGUGAGUAAUACAUAGGCAACUUGCCCCAAGGACUGGGAUAACACUUAGAAAUGAGUGCUAAUACCGGAUAGGUAAUACAAAGGCAUCUUAGUAUUAUUAAAGUUGGGUAUCCAACACCAUGGGAUGGGCUUAUGCUGUAUUAGCUAGUUGGUGAGAUAAAAGCCCACCAAGGCGAUGAUACAUAGCUGGUCUGAGAGGAUGAACAGCCACAUUGGGACUGAGACACGGCCCAGACUCC